GUGAGGAUGAAGAAGAAAAUCAUUCGGAUUCCCAUUGAUAAUAUAAAUAUGAGAUCUUUAACCAGCUACUUCUGACUCAA
rfam:Triticum urartu cultivar G1812 contig1092195, whole genome shotgun sequence.